GUCAGGCACAGUAGUGCAUGCCUGUGGUCCCGGCUACUCCAGAGGCUGAGGUGGGAGGAUCACUUGAGCCAAGGACUUCUGGGCUGUAGCACACUAUGCUGAUCAAGUGUCCACACUAAGUUCAGCAUCAGUAUGGUGACCUCCCAGGGGCGGGGGGACCACGAGGUUGCCUAAGAGAGUGAACUGGCCCAGGUCGGAAACGGAGCAGGUCAAAACUCCCCUUGCUGAUCAGUAGUGGGAUCUCACCUGUGAAUAGUCACUGUGCUGCAGCCUGGGCAACACAGUGAGACCCCCAUCUCUU
rfam:Nomascus leucogenys chromosome X, whole genome shotgun sequence.